rnacentral:rRNA from 1 species
CCUAAACGAUGUCAACUAGCUGUUGGGGCUUCGGGCUUUAGUAGCGCAGCUAACGCGUGAAGUUGACCGCUGGGGAGUACGGUCGCAAGAUUAAAACUCAAAGGAAUUGACGGGGACCCGCACAAGCGGUGGAUGAUGUGGAUUAAUUCGAUGCAACGCGAAAAACCUUACCUACCCUUGACAUGUCUGGAAUCCUUUAGAGAUAGAGGAGUGUCGCAAGAAACCGGAACACAGGUGCUGCAUGGCUGUCGUCAGCUCGUGUCGUGAGAUGUUGGGUUAAGUCCCGCAACGAGCGCAACCCUUGUCAUUAGUUGCUACGAAAGGGCACUCUAAUGAGACUGCCGGUGACAAACCGGAGGAAGGUGGGGAUGACGUCAAGUCCUCAUGGCCCUUAUGGGUAGGGCUUCACACGUCACACAAUGGUCGGGACAGAGGGUCGCCAACCCGCGAGGGGGAGCCAAUCCCAGAAACCCGAUCGUAGUCCGGAUUGUAGUCUGCAACUCGACUACAUGAAGUCGGAAUCGCUAGUAAUCGCGGAUCAGCAUGUCGCGGUGAAUACGUUCCCGGGUCUUGUACACACCGCCCGUCACACCAUGGGAGUGGGUUUCACCAGAAGUAGGUAGCCUAACCGUAAGGAGGGCGCUUACCACGGUGGGAUUCAUGACUGGGGUGAAGUCGUAACAAGGUAACCA